AUGAGACACACAGAGAAGCAGAAAGAUCGGCAGAAGGAGAAGCACGCUCCCGAUGGGGAGCCUGAUGCAGGACUGGAUCCCAGAACCCCAGGAUCACGCCCUAAGCCAAAGACAGAUAUUCAACCACCGAGCCACCCAGACGUCCCAGGGAUCCCCUCUUGCAAGACAACCCAUCAAGCCUGCAGGAUACAUACCACAAUGAGCAGAAGAUUAAUAACAGAUCUGCAGACAAAGAAAAAGGUUGCGUGUCAGCUGGAAAAUAUGUACAAAGAAAAAGGACAAACUGGAAUUAUGAAGAGGGUUUCAUCCUCUGGUGAUUAAUGUAAGUUACACGAUGCAUCAACUUGACAGAGAUGUCAACAAAUCAUAGCAGAUUGUCCUGCUUCCCUGGCCUAACAAAACAUUGGUGCUAUCUUGGAUGUAUCAAUUUUUUUCUACCUGAAAGUUGUUUUGCCCAUUGGAUUUGUUUUCUUUACAUUUUUAUAUGUGGAAAUAUGAACUCCACCCUCUUCUAACAAAAUAAUCAUUUUUCUUCGAAAAAAAAUUUUAAGUAGGUUCUACACCCAGUGUGGUGCUUGAAUUCACAACCCUGAGAUUGAGUCACAUGGUCUGGGGUGCCUGGGUGGCUUUGUCAGUUAAGCAUCUGCCUUGGGCUCAGGUCAUAAUCUCCCUGUUGGGCUCCCCAUGCAGUGGGGAGUCUGCUUCUCUCUCUGCACUCCACCCCCACUCAUGUUCUCUCUCUCUCCCAAAUAAAUAAAUCUUAAAAAAAGUCACACAGCCAGCCCAGAACCCCUAUUCAGAAACAUUUUUAAAGCACAUGCUGAAAAGGUGCCUGGGUGGCUCAGUGGUUGAGCAUCUGCCUUUGGCUCAGGUCGUGACCUGGGGUCCUGGGAUCAAGUCCCGGAGGGAGCCUGCUUCUCCCUCUGCCUAUGUCUCUGCCUCUUGGUGUCUAUCACAAAUGAAGGAAUAAAAUCUUUAAAACACACAUACAUACAUACAUAUACAUAAAGCACAUGCUUAUGAACAUGUUUUUUUCCCACUUUCCACUUUACUUUAACACUGCUGUUGGACAAACAUUCCCCAAAUUCUCCCUUUGUUCCUUUAGGCUCCUGCACUCAAAAUCUUUAAUGCUUUUUCACCUUUAGAACAAGGUCAGUGUUCAUAAAUCUGUCAAUCAAGGCUUCCAUAAUAUGGCCCAACCUCUUUUUUUUUUUAAUUUCUCCCCUACCAAUCCCUAAGUAGACCAAAGUUGAUUUUUUUUACUGCCCCUCAUCCAUGUGGCUUUCUGUCUGUCUCCAAACAUUUGCUCAAGUUGUGAUCCCUCUUGUGUUGGUCAGUUGUGCUGUAGUAACAAACAACUCCCCAAAUCUCUGGAUUACAACAACAAAUAUUUGUUGCUCAUUCAUAUUACAUGUAGGCUUUCACUGGGCUUUAGUUAUGCACCAGGUUCCAACUCAGCUCUAUGUGUCACUUCAUUCUGGAACCCAUACCCAAGAAGAAGCCACUAGCCGGGACAGACUGUAGUCCUGGCAGAAAAACGGAAGCAAACAGGCAGUCAUAUUUAAGGGUUUUGCUCUGAUGUGGCAUAUGUCAGGCCAAAGCAAGUCCCAUUGGCAAGUCCAAUAUUAAUAGACCAACAACAUACACUUCCUCUAUAAGUGGACAUUACAAAUCACACUGCAAUUAACAGGAGUGUAUAAUCUUAUUACAGGAAAGAAAAUACGUUAAUAAUUGAAAAAAAAAAUCCACCUGACUACUCAAAUCAUCUACUCCCCUCCUCUGCUAAUAGGUCCACCCUCUGCUCAAGCCUUGAUUCAAGUCCCAUGUUUAUCCACCUGUCUAAUCUAAAAUGCACUUGUCUUCAUGGAGCAUUGCUCAUCAGUAUUGCACACUUGGCACUUAGCUUAUGCUAGUGCAUGUAAGAAGUUAUCAUAGUCCAUCUCUCUGUCUUGUGUUCCUGACUAGACCAUAACCUUUAGGGGGAUGAGAUUAAAUCUUAUAACUCUUGAUAAUUUCACUUAUUGUAUAAGGUAUGUUCCUGUAUAAUUGUUUGUUGUUGAAGGAGUUACUAAUAUUUUUCCAUCAUGGGAAACAAGUUUCAUCUUCAAAGGAGAAUAGACUUAGUUCAAAGGAGUUUUAUUGCCAAAUUUUAAUGUAGUCUCUCCAUUCUUUAGAACAUUACUAGGAUAAAUAUAUAGAGGCACAGCCUAUUUGGACAUAUAUCUAAGGUCUAAGCAUUUAAACAAAGGGUGUGGUAUAAAAUAGGCCCGUGACAGGUACCACACUACCUUCACCCUUAUUUUAGCCCCAAUAUGAAAACAGUAGCUUGAACAAACAAAAUUGUAACAAUUUCUUUUAAUAAAAGGUAGCUGUGCUAAAAAUGAGAAUUUUUAAAGAUAUCUUGGUAUUUUAAAAUAGUUCUCUCUUCUGGGGUGCCUGAGUGGCUCAGUGGAUUAGGCGUCUGCCUUCAGCUCAGGUCAUAAUCCCCAGGGUCCUGGGAUCGAGUUCCACAUCAGGCUCUCUGCUCAGUGGGGAGUCUGCUUCUCCUUCCCUUCCCCUACCACUCCCCCUGCUUGUGCUCAUGUUCUCUCAUCUUUCACUCUAUCUCUCUAAAAUAAAUAAAUACAAUCUUUUAAAAAGGAAAAUAUAAAAAUAAAAUAAUUAUCUUUUCUUAUAAGAUUCACAGUCCCUAGAACCAGAGUCACAAGUCACAUAAUUCAACAAGAUUUUCCCAGAAGAAAAGUCCUGGCCACAAACCAUUAGGAAGCACAAUCCAACUUCCUUGGGGUACUACUACUACAAAUUUCAUUUUUAAUGUCUUCCUGCCUCUCACUUAGCUAAUCAAUCCUCGGGAAUUUAUCCUGAAUGUUGCAUAUUCAUUACACUAUGCUGCAAAGCAGGACUUUUUCAUAUUUCUUCAGCAGCUACAUUGUUUUUAAAUCACCACUCCAGCAUGACUCUGGCUUUAGGAGGUGACCUCUGUCACAUGAAAUUCAGUGCUUCCAUUCAACAGCUGAUCAGAAUCUCCCAGCACCUCCUCCAGCACAGCUUCCUCGGGUCCACAUCUAUUCUCACAUGCCUGCUUGGCUCUUUUCCCUUAUUUGAAGUUAUGCUUGUGACUCUGAGCAAUGCAAGCAUUACCUCUCCCACCCACAAAUAGAAUCCAUUAAGGAAAAAUUCAUUCCAAACUCAUCUUAGGCUAGUGAGGAAGACUGGACAAACCUCAAGAGGUCUAAAGGUUGAAUUUCAUUUGCAAAACUACCCAGAAGCUCAACUGCUUAUCCAAUCCUUAUCCUAACGAGGAGAAAGGCCUAGGGAUGUGCUGACAGGGAGGAAUUAAGGUUCCACCAGGCACCAGGGAAAACCAGUUUUGUAGCCCAUUGCUGCCCACUUCUCCUAAGAAGGAGGGAGGUGAGGGAGAGAUGAUGUUGAGGGAAUAACAGGUCAGGAAACCUCACUCCUGACCUCUCUUAGAGCCUCAGAGAACAAUUACUCAGUCUGUGUUUCAAACUGAGAAGACCUGGUGUACCUACAAUGAAAAACUUGUUCCUGACUAAUCAAGAGCUCAUUUGUAAGUCAGGUGAUGUGAAAACUCCCUUCCUAAAAAUGGUUUCUUUUUAACAUGAAGGCCAAAAAGCUUUGGAAGGUAAUGAGGCACCAUUAUUUCCUUGGAUUAUAAGAGGUGAUGUUUGGAAAUGAAGAAAAAUUCAUUUGGAAAAGAAAUAUGCAAAGGGGGCUUUAUUUUUAAAAAUCCCAGGGAUGCCUAUCAGGUACCUUGGGCUGUGAGGGUAGAAAGCCAAAGAAUGCAUCGACUUCACUACUCAACAGAAAACAAAAAUUUAUUUGAUUUUUUUUAAUCAAUCUGAGCUUUAGGAAAAAUAAAUUACUCAAAUCUUUAAUUAAAGUAAGGCAAUAUAGGAGGUUGAGGAAUUAAACCUUAGACUACAGUAUAGAAAUAGAAAAUUCCUUUAAGAGAUCUGCCAAGCCACCUUCUCCUCCUCAGAGCUUCAUUUAAAUCAUUCACAAGAAAAGAUAGCUGUUCUAUUUUAAGCAUGUCCAAUGGGAAUGGAGGAGACUAUAUCCUAUCUCAUUGUUAAUAACACUCGUCAAUGCUGGUAAAUUGUUUUUCACAUGUGACCCAAAGGAAAAAAUUAAAGGAUGCUCUAGCUCAUCCCUCAUGAUGACUGACAUGCUAUCUCUAGGGCCUAAUCCCAUUCAGUGGCCUUUCCGUGGAGUCCAAAAAGGGUAUAUGAGGCACUAGAGAUAAGCUAAGGCCUUCCAUAUGUGUCCUUCCUCCUAGCAGAGGAAGAGGGGGAAGAAAGGCUCUCUUUCAACAGGACAUAUCUUCCCAAAUCUUCCAAAAAUCUAGAUAGUAAGAUUCUCUUAAGACCAAUGUUGGCCAUUUUGUUGAUUAAUAGCAAGACAAAAAAGAAAAAAAGAAAGGAAAUUUGAUUAUAAGAAAAAGAAACAUACAUUUUUACAUGUAUGGUUUUCUAGGAUUUAAGUACACAAAAUACAUCAAUGAAUACCCAGAUCCCUCAGGAAAAAAGGAAAACAUUCCAAGAGAAGACAAAUACUGCACUUUCUUUGGAUGUAAAGUACCAAAAAUAUAAUGUCAACUUAAUAUUAUACAAUUGUCCACAAGAAGUUGACUAGCUAAAAGAAAGAAAGGUGUUACAUCCCCAAGGUUUUUUAAAUUUUUUUAUGUUGCAUAUGGUAAGUGGGGUCUACCUUGCUGAGAUAAUAUUUUAGAAGCAUUAGUUCUCAUUCUGAUAGAAAACCAAGUAUCUGGGGAGACACAAUUUCUCCCAGAGCUUCUAAGAAACAAUUUUGUGUAGGUGAUGGAAAAUUAGUUUUCUGAGAUGCCUGGGUGGCUCAGCAGUUGAUCAUCUUUGGCUCGGGGCAUAAUCCUGGAGUCCUGAGAU
rnacentral:lncRNA from 1 species